AUAAUGAGACUUCCGUCCGGGAUUCCGGGCGGCUCGGUGAGAACCACGGAGGGGUUAGAUUCCCAUGG
rfam:Clostridium sp. SY8519 DNA, complete genome.